AAGCAAGUACUCUACCAGCUGAGCUGCAUCCCCAGCCCCAACUUUCUCCUUUUUAUUCAGUUUAAGGCCCCAGACUGUGGGCUACUGCUGCCUACAGUCAGGGUGGUUUUUCCCUCUUUAGUUAAGCCUUUCUGGGAAGGCCCUUGUAGACAUGCUCAGAGGCGUGUUUCCAUGGUGAUUCUAAAUCUGUCAUGUUGAUAAUGAAGAUUAACCACUAUGAGCACCAGCACCCAGCUAAGGACAGGAAGGCACCGGUGCACAGCUUGACUGCUACCCAGCUGUGCUGUCUUGGGCAAAGCGCUGCACCUCUCUGGUCUCUGUUUCCUUUUCUUUAAUUAUACAUAACACACAUCUCAAAAAGCCCAGUUGGUUACAAUACAGUCCUCACCUCUGGCUUAGGGUGAUGACAUCCAUGGACAGUAUCUCGGUUCCUUCAGGCCUCUUCUAGAGACGGGCACGGCUCCCUGCCAAAAGCCUAGCAGCCAGCUGCACAUGGAACCUCUCCUGGGCCUGAUGCUGGUCUUUCUGCAAAUGCCAGAACUGGAAAACUGAGCCCGCACACAGGGCAGGAAAAAUUGAAAGGUCCCAGGACCCGGUGGCCUGAGAGAGCCCUGCCUCCUCCAUCUUGUGUCACCCUGCCACCCACCUGACAUCAUCCAUCAGCCCUGCUUAACCAGGAUGGUCCUAACCACGAAGGUCUCCUCAUCCUUGCAACUCCAGAUGGACAAGUAAAAGCAGCCAGAGACGAUGUCGCCCAGGGAUCUCUACAGCAACCCUUCCAGUGCCAGGCUCAGCAUCCUCCACCUCAGCUGACCGGUAGACCCUUGUGGCAGCGGAGUGCAAGCCUUUUCAUCGGCCACGACAAUGGGAGAAAUGGAAGAGGGCCAGACUGAGUAUCAGAUGGAGGUCUCUGCAUGCAGCUGGAGUGACCUGAUUUGAGCUCCUAUGUGCCGCCUGGAGCCCAGCUCCUGUCCACACAGCCAUUUCCUGGACUGAAGGAAGAAGGAGAGUGCAAUUAGUGCUGCCUGUAUGCCCAAGGAUGAAGGGCCAUCUGCUGGAGCAUGGACAACCUACCAGUGGCCAACACCACUCCCUCCUCCAGAAGCCAUCAACCUACAAUAGCUCUCAGCUAGAGGCGGGACUUCCGGAGCCCCUUCCUCAUCCACGCUGGAGUGCCGACUGGCUUGAUCUUGUGUGGGUCUUGUGCAGGUCACCACAGUUACUGUGCGUUCAUGAUGAUGACUCCCCUGUCAUGUCUGGAAGACAAUACUUCACAUCAGUCCUCCACAACCCUCUGGCUCUUGCAAUCUUUCUGUCCACUCUUCCUCUGUGUUCCCUGGACCUUGGGACCUGGUGGGAAGGGUUCAUUUUCUACUUUUCAAAUGUGUUGCUUUUCCCACUUCUGAGGCUCAUGUCAGCCUCUCUCUCUCUCUCUCUCUCUCUCUCUCUCUCUCUCUCUCUCUCUUUCUCCUCUCUCUCUCUCUCAUACACACUCACACACCCACACUCACCCACCUACACAAUCGCAUAUGCCUUGGAAUGGUGUCUGACUUCUCCGCUGGUGAGUUCUCCAAGUCCAAAUGGACUGAUUUUAGACCUCCUGAAGUACUGGGAGCCCUUCAUCUUUCCUUAGGACUCAACUGUGUCUUAGAGCCACUCAGUGUGGGAUGAGGGUGAAUAGCAUUUGAGAUUGACCUAGGCCUUCACAACCAGUGGCUCAUUGGAGAGACUCUGGGGUAGGCAGAGACUAGAUUAGACCAGACUAAUCACUCCCAAUUCACAACAAGCGGACGAGGUGGUGUGCACAGAGAGGUUAAGAAAUCUACGUGAGGACCGGAGCAUAAGCUGAGGCUGCCUGGCUUCCCAGUGUGUGGUCUCCACCAUGCUGCUCUCCACCCACCUGUGAGAACUGAGAGAAGGAAAGGCUGAGACUCCAAACUGACAAUCAACCCCAAUUAUUUCCCAUAGGAUUAGCAAUUAUUAACCAACCUCUAGGGAGUCAGCUAAAUACAAGGCAAUGAAACCAGCUCCCAGCAGUGGAACCCAGGUGUGCGCUCCAGCUAACGGGAAGCGUUAUGGGACAAAGGGGAUAUUUGCUGGUGUCUCAAGCUAUUUUCCUCAUUUACUUUAAUUAAUUAGUUAAUUGUGUGUGUGUGGGGGGGGUAUAUAUAUAUGUGUUCACACAUGCAUGCAGGUGUACACGUCUGUGUGCAUACACUUGAAGACUAGAGUGUUCAGGACACCUGAUGUUUGGGAUAUCCGGUGUCCUCCACUGUUCUCCACCUUGUUCCCUUGAGACAGGAUCUGUCGUUGUGAUUUUUUUUAAAGCUGGGCCAGUCGCCAUCAAGUCCCAAUGAUCCUUCUGUUGCCUCCACUGCCCGUUCCAGCCUUACACCAACUCUGUGUGUGUGUGUGUGUGUGUGUGUGUGUGUGUGUGUGUGAGAGAGAGAGAGAGGGGGGGGGGGGGAGAGAGAGAGACAGACAGACAGACAGAAAGACACAGAGAGAGGCAUGGAGAGGCGGGGCUUUGUGUGGCACCUCAUACAACCUCUCACAAGGUUCAAGUGCUCUGAUCCCCACCGUGCAGGUUGUAUAAUGGAGGCCAAAGACAUUUAGCCAAGAAGUGGAAGAGCUGGGAAAAGUAAUCCUGUCAGGCUCCGGAGUCCACGUCUGGACCCCUGCCCUGGUGGCUGGGACACAGUCACACACUGCUACUUUGCUUACCACUUUGACACAGCACUCCCUAACACUGACCUUCCAGACUUUGUCCUAAGACCCAGGAUGACCCAGCCAGGCCCCGCUUAGUCGCAGGUCCAAUUCUUACGGGCCUCAUUGCUCACCGGCUGAGGGUUGGGGGCCUGGCCGAGUACAGUCAGGAACCAGGAGAGUCUGGCCGUAGCUGUGCCUCUGUCUAGCUGUGCGGUGAGAAUUCCCUCCCUGAGACGCAGUGAGUGCCAAGGAUGUGCCGGGCCCUCCCAUGUUUACACAAGCUUUUAGAAUCCAAGGCAUGUUCCCCAACAGUCCUUCUCCCUCGGCCUUCAGGGAGGGACACCGGCCGGCCGGCUACAUCUCCAAAACAAGUUCUAGACGCCUUCCCUGACUCCAGCUUUGACCUGUGUGUCUGUCAGCUACUGCCAGCAGCAGUGGUUUGUUUUUUUUUUAAAUUUUCCAGAACUGAGGACCGAACCCAGGGCCUUGUGCUUGCUAGGCAAGCGCUCUACCACUGAGCUAAAUCCCCAACCCCAGCAGCAGUGUUUCAGAACAAGUCAUCCCCCACACUAGCCACUCACAGCCGCACUGGCCUCACACUGCUCUUCCUUCAGGUGACUGACCAUGGUGCCUCAGGUCCUGAGCGCACAGACAGGUCAGCAGGGUGCCUCUGUUGCAGGGUGCCUCUGUUGCAGGCUGCCUCUGUUGCAGGGUGCCUCUGUUGCAGGCUGCCUCUGUUGCAGGCUGCAGGUCACACUCAGACUCACCAUAGGAAGGACAGCAGCUACUGCUCAGGGAAACCCUGUGUUCUCGUCACUGUCAGGGGCCAGCUCUAUCCCCUUCCCAUGCCCUGUCCUGUCUGCUCAAAGCCAUGCCCAUCUUCAGCCGUGCGAGGGCCUGACUUCUCUUCCUGUCCGUGGAAGGAAGGCGAGCACCAGUGAGUCACAGAGCAGCGAAACACAGAGGGAACACCCCAGCUUCCAGUGGCCCAUCCCUGGACCUGCAGACAGGUGGCUAAACAAUUGGAGACCCCCCCCUCCGAACUUGGAAAGACCAAGAGAAAGGAUCAGUUGCAAGAAACUUCCAGAACCUUCAGAGAACUAUAACAUAUAGGAAGAGAUACCUGGAGGAUGGAGGUAGAAACACUACACCAUGUGAUACCAAGAAAGACUUUUGCCUUCUGUUUGGCCUUGGGGGAAAGUCACUUGUGGACUCUACAAGUCUCUAACUCCCAUAAGCAGCCCCAGCCUCUACCUUCAGGAUCCCUGACAGCAGCCAGCCCUCCUAGUGGGAGUGUGGGAGCCCAAGGCCUGCAGGGAGCCCAGACAGCUGCUGACACCUGUCCUCAGGCUGGAGGUAGAACACCCCAAAUGUCUCCCAAAGGACCAGGGAAGCUGUCUAUCCCACUUCCCUGCCAAGAUGGAUGGCUUAAUCACAGUCCCCUCUUCUCUAACUAGACAAGCACAUUCCCACCCUCUUUCCCCCAGUGCCUCCAUAAAUGGCUCAUUGUGACUUGGUUGGACAGUCAGCUCUCUCAGCAAAGCUUGGGGAUGGGCAGAGAACCCUGAAGGGACCCACUGCUUCUGUCUCCCUGCAGCUGAGCCCCCAGCCUCAUUGCCAAAGGAGCCUUACAGAAAGGAACAGGGCAGCCCAAAGGUCUGGCCCUUAGGGCUCCCUCAGCCUCCUUCCUGUGGCCUGCUUAGCCAGUGGCAAGGUAACUUCUCAGUCAUUGAGCAAGGCUCAUGCUUUGUCUGCUUGCAUUUGAGAGGCGUCAUUGUCUAGGGCCAUAAAUCAACCUCUUUAAUUAUCACCAGUGACACAUUUGGCAAGAAGAUGACUGGAUCUGCUGAGAACAGGGUGAAGAGUCACCUGCAAAGAUGCUUGAAACUGUGUCCUGCCCUGUGAUUCAGAAAUGCCUGCUCAACGGGCAGAGGUCACUCCCAGCAAUGCUCUUGUGAGUGGCAGGAAACCGGGUGGAGUUAUUGUCGCACACAAGACUCUGGCAUGAAUUACCAGAGCCUCAGAUGCACCACCUACAAGAAGUGGGAUACCAGCCUGAAGGACAAGUGAACGCUUUCUCUCUGUUCCCUCUUUCCUUCUUUCCUUCCCUUCCUUCCUUCCCUCCCAACUUUCUAACUUCUUCCUCCCUCCUUCUCCCUCUCUUCCCCUCCCUCUCCCUUCCUCUCUCCUCCUCCUCCUCCCUUCCCUCUUCCUUCCUUUAACAGAGAACUCUGCCCUAAACUUUUUGCAUGGCUGACUCCUUCUCAAUAUUGAAAAGGCCCCAAGUGCGAGGCUGGUGAGACCGCUCAACCAUGGCCCAGCUGUGGCCUCAGGAGCUUCCAGUCUGGCUGACAAGUCUGGCAUUCUGGUGAGGGCCAGUACAGAUCACAGAUUCCUGAUGCUUAGGUGUGGUCCUGGCUGAGACUAGGGAGUGAGUGGCAUGGCCAUGUCAAGGAUGUCAAUGUCUCAGCCCCACGGGAGUGGCAAAGCCUUCCCUGAGUGAGGCUCAAAGGAUGGAAAAGCCUUCCUUGGGUCCAAGUGCAAAUGUUGACAGUGUGCAGAAAAUGUCCAUCAUAUAUCUCCCCCGUACGUUUAUGGCCUGAAGACUGCUCCUACUGAGAUUUAGUGAACCCGGCCUCCUUGUUCAACUGUAUGCAAUAACCCCGCCUCCCUGUUCAACUGUAUGCAAUAACCCUGCCUCCCUGCUCAAAGGUAUAGAAUAAACACCCUGAGGGUACUGUGACUUCUCUAAUAGAGAGCCCAGUUCACCCAAUCCCAGCUUUUCUA